rnacentral:rRNA from 1 species
UACAGAGGGGGCAAGCGUUGUUCGGAAUUACUGGGCGUAAAGGGCGCGUAGGCGGCCCGCUAAGUCGAACGUGAAAUCCCCGGGCUCAACCCGGGAACUGCGUCCGAUACUGGCAGGCUUGAAUCCGGGAGAGGGAUGCGGAAUUCCAGGUGUAGCGGUGAAAUGCGUAGAUAUCUGGAGGAACACCGGUGGCGAAGGCGGCAUCCUGGACCGGUAUUGACGCUGAGGCGCGAAAGCCAGGGGAGCGAACGGG